GGGCCCUUAAGCUACUAAAGCUGACUCAUGCAUACACUUUCCUUUUGGUUUGUCCUCUCACUGCCCCCAUGGUGUGUUAACCAUGCACUGCUGACAUUGCUGAUCUUUGGGUCUCCAUGGUGGAGAGGGGGUCACGUGGCUCAAGUCCAUCUGGAAGUUGAUUGACAUCAUCCCGGAUCCAAUCUUCAUACGGUUCAGAUGGAAAAACCACCGCAUGAUGAUCCGUCAUGAUUGGAUUGGACUGUAAUCAUCGAGCACAUCAGAAAUGUACUGGGGAGCCAAACCAUUAAGUGCUUCAAAGACUAUUAGUAGAAUUUUUAAAUUGUUUCUGUAUAGCACUGGGAGCCACUGAAGUGAGUUAAGUACUGGAGUAAUACAGCAUGUUUGACUUGAGCUGAAGCCUUGUGAUUGCUUUGUUGUUGUUGUUGUUGUUGUUGUUGUUGUUUCCAGCAAACAAUCCAGCAAAAAAGAACUACAGCUGUCUAACCUUGAGAUAAAUACUCAACUACUCCCCCCCUUUGAAUCUUCUUUGGGUGUUACCUUUAACUAAUAUAAUCAUGUCCUAGAUAUUCAGUUCAGUUCAGUAGAAUUUACAAGCUUGUUUAUAGGACCGAGAUAACCCAAUGAGGAAGAGAUGUGUGUCGUCAAUGUGUCAUCAAAAUAUAAAUGAUAAGCUGUAUUAUAUUUACUUUUGAUAAUGUUGCCAAGUGGAAGCAUGCAUAAAAAAUACACAGCAGCUACCGUCUUGCUCUGGUGACAUUAUUCGGAGCCAGAGAUCUCCUUGGUAUCAAGUUUCCUGCCCAUACACCCAUCCAACCAAUGGCAAGCAGCUCCACUGUAUGUGAGCACACCAACUGGCUCACACAGUUGUCAAUCAUGUUGUAAAAUUCAUAUUUUAUAGCAUAAAAUAACUAAUUAUAACCAAACUUAUCAGAAAAACUAACACUUGAACAUACAGCAGUGUGAUUAAAAAAUACUUUAAAUUACAGAAACCUUUGAAAAUCU